rnacentral:rRNA from 1 species
GGGUUGUGAGGUUAAGCGACUAAGCGUACACGGUGGAUGCCCUGGCAGUCAGAGGCGAUGAAGGACGUGCUAAUCUGCGAUAAGCGUCGGUAAGGUGAUAUGAACCGUUAUAACCGGCGAUUUCCGAAUGGGGAAACCCAGUGUGAUUCGUCACACUAUCAUUAACUGAAUCCAUAGGUUAAUGAGGCGAACCGGGGGAACUGAAACAUCUAAGUACCCCGAGGAAAAGAAAUCAACCGAGAUUCCCCAGUAGCGGCGAGCGAACGGGGAGCAGCCCAGAGCCUGAAUCAGUGUGUGUGUUAGUGGAAGCGUCUGGAAAGGCGUGCGAUACAGGGUGACAGCCCCGUACACAAAAUGCACAUACUGUGAGCUCGAUGAGUAGGGCGGGACACGUGGUAUCCUGUCUGAAUAUGGGGGGACCAUCCUCCAAGGCUAAAUACUCCUGACUGACCGAUAGUGAACCAGUACCGUGAGGGAAAGGCGAAAAGAACCCCGGCGAGGGGAGUGAAAAAGAACCUGAAACCGUGUACGUACAAGCAGUGGGAGCACGCUUAGGCGUGUGACUGCGUACCUUUUGUAUAAUGGGUCAGCGACUUAUAUUCUGUAGCAAGGUUAACCGAAUAGGGGAGCCGAAGGGAAACCGAGUCUUAACUGGGCGUUAAGUUGCAGGGUAUAGACCCGAAACCCGGUGAUCUAGCCAUGGGCAGGUUGAAGGUUGGGUAACACUAACUGGAGGACCGAACCGACUAAUGUUGAAAAAUUAGCGGAUGACUUGUGGCUGGGGGUGAAAGGCCAAUCAAACCGGGAGAUAGCUGGUUCUCCCCGAAAGCUAUUUAGGUAGCGCCUCGUGAAUUCAUCUCCGGGGGUAGAGCACUGUUUCGGCAAGGGGGUCAUCCCGACUUACCAACCCGAUGCAAACUGCGAAUACCGGAGAAUGUUAUUACGGGAGACACACGGCGGGUGCUAACGUCCGUCGUGAAGAGGGAAACAACCCAGACCGCCAGCUAAGGUCCCAAAGUCAUGGUUAAGUGGGAAACGAUGUGGGAAGGCCCAGACAGCCAGGAUGUUGGCUUAGAAGCAGCCAUCAUUUAAAGAAAGCGUAAUAGCUCACUGGUCGAGUCGGCCUGCGCGGAAGAUGUAACGGGGCUAAACCAUGCACCGAAGCUGCGGCAGCGACGCUUAUGCGUUGUUGGGUAGGGGAGCGUUCUGUAAGCCUGUGAAGGUGUGCUGUGAGGUAUGCUGGAGGUAUCAGAAGUGCGAAUGCUGACAUAAGUAACGAUAAAGCGGGUGAAAAGCCCGCUCGCCGGAAGACCAAGGGUUCCUGUCCAACGUUAAUCGGGGCAGGGUGAGUCGACCCCUAAGGCGAGGCCGAAAGGCGUAGUCGAUGGGAAACAGGUUAAUAUUCCUGUACUUGGUGUUACUGCGAAGGGGGGACGGAGAAGGCUAUGUUGGCCGGGCGACGGUUGUCCCGGUUUAAGCGUGUAGGCUGGUUUUCCAGGCAAAUCCGGAAAAUCAAGGCCGAGGCGUGAUGACGAGGCACUACGGUGCUGAAGCAACAAAUGCCCUGCUUCCAGGAAAAGCCUCUAAGCAUCAGGUAACAUCAAAUCGUACCCCAAACCGACACAGGUGGUCAGGUAGAGAAUACCAAGGCGCUUGAGAGAACUCGGGUGAAGGAACUAGGCAAAAUGGUGCCGUAACUUCGGGAGAAGGCACGCUGAUACGUAGGUGAAGCGACUUGCUCGUGGAGCUGAAAUCAGUCGAAGAUACCAGCUGGCUGCAACUGUUUAUUAAAAACACAGCACUGUGCAAACACGAAAGUGGACGUAUACGGUGUGACGCCUGCCCGGUGCCGGAAGGUUAAUUGAUGGGGUUAGCGCAAGCGAAGCUCUUGAUCGAAGCCCCGGUAAACGGCGGCCGUAACUAUAACGGUCCUAAGGUAGCGAAAUUCCUUGUCGGGUAAGUUCCGACCUGCACGAAUGGCGUAAUGAUGGCCAGGCUGUCUCCACCCGAGACUCAGUGAAAUUGAACUCGCUGUGAAGAUGCAGUGUACCCGCGGCAAGACGGAAAGACCCCGUGAACCUUUACUAUAGCUUGACACUGAACAUUGAGCCUUGAUGUGUAGGAUAGGUGGGAGGCUUUGAAGUGUGGACGCCAGUCUGCAUGGAGCCGACCUUGAAAUACCACCCUUUAAUGUUUGAUGUUCUAACGUGGACCCGUGAUCCGGGUUGCGGACAGUGUCUGGUGGGUAGUUUGACUGGGGCGGUCUCCUCCUAAAGAGUAACGGAGGAGCACGAAGGUUGGCUAAUCCUGGUCGGACAUCAGGAGGUUAGUGCAAUGGCAUAAGCCAGCUUGACUGCGAGCGUGACGGCGCGAGCAGGUGCGAAAGCAGGUCAUAGUGAUCCGGUGGUUCUGAAUGGAAGGGCCAUCGCUCAACGGAUAAAAGGUACUCCGGGGAUAACAGGCUGAUACCGCCCAAGAGUUCAUAUCGACGGCGGUGUUUGGCACCUCGAUGUCGGCUCAUCACAUCCUGGGGCUGAAGUAGGUCCCAAGGGUAUGGCUGUUCGCCAUUUAAAGUGGUACGCGAGCUGGGUUUAGAACGUCGUGAGACAGUUCGGUCCCUAUCUGCCGUGGGCGCUGGAGAACUGAGGGGGGCUGCUCCUAGUACGAGAGGACCGGAGUGGACGCAUCACUGGUGUUCGGGUUGUCAUGCCAAUGGCACUGCCCGGUAGCUAAAUGCGGAAGAGAUAAGUGCUGAAAGCAUCUAAGCACGAAACUUGCCCCGAGAUGAGUUCUCCCUGACCCUUUAAGGGUCCUGAAGGAACGUUGAAGACGACGACGUUGAUAGGCCGGGUGUGUAAGCGCAGCGAUGCGUUGAGCUAACCGGUACUAAUGAACCGUGAGGCUUAACCUUACAACGCCGAAG